UACGUAGGGACCAAGCGUUGUUCGGAUUUACUGGGCGUAAAGGGCGCGUAGGCGGCAAUUCAAGUCAUCUGUGAAAUCUCCGGGCUUAACUCGGAACGGUCAGGUGAUACUGCUUUGCUAGAGUGCGGAAGGGGCAAUCGGAAUUCUCGGUGUAGCGGUGAAAUGCGUAGAUAUCGAGAGGAACACCUGCGGCGAAGGCGGGUUGCUGGGCUGAUACUGACGCUGAGGCGCGUAAGCCAGGGGAGCGAACGGG
rnacentral:rRNA from 1 species